rnacentral:rRNA from 1 species
AACGAACGCUGGCGGCAUGCCUAACACAUGCAAGUCGAACGAGACCUUCGGGUCUAGUGGCGCACGGGUGCGUAACGCGUGGGAACCUGCCCUUAGGUUCGGAAUAACUCCCCGAAAGGGGUGCUAAUACCGGAUAAUGUCUUCGGACCAAAGAUUUAUCGCCUUUGGAUGGGCCCGCGUUGGAUUAGCUAGUUGGUAUGGUAAAAGCCUACCAAGGCGACGAUCCAUAGCUGGUCUGAGAGGAUGAUCAGCCACACUGGGACUGAGACACGGCCCAGACUCCUACGGGAGGCAGCAGUGGGGAAUAUUGGACAAUGGGCGAAAGGCUGAUCCAGCAAUGCCGCGUGAGUGAUGAAGGCCUUAGGGUUGUAAAGCUCUUUUACCCGGGAUGAUAAUGACAGUACCGGGAGAAUAAGCUCCGGCUAACUCCGUG